rnacentral:antisense_RNA from 1 species
GACAGCUUCUGUGGGAGCAAGGCUUGUCCGCGAUGGCGAUUGCGAAAACGCAUCGCGGGCAAGCCUUGCUCCCACAGAAGCCCAU